CAUUACCGAGUUUACAACUCCCAAACCCCUGUGAACAUACCUAUACGUUGCCUCGGCGGAUCAGCCCGCGCCCUGUAAAAAGGGACGGCCCGCCCGAGGACCCUAAACUCUGUUUUUAGUGGAACUUCUGAGUAAAACAAACAAAUAAAUCAAAACUUUCAACAACGGAUCUCUUGGUUCUGGCAUCGAUGAAGAACGCAGCAAAAUGCGAUAAGUAAUGUGAAUUGCAGAAUUCAGUGAAUCAUCGAAUCUUUGAACGCACAUUGCGCCCGCCAGUAUUCUGGCGGGCAUGCCUGUUCGAGCGUCAUUUCAACCCUCAAGCUCUGCUUGGUGUUGGGACUCGCGGUAACCCGCGUUCCCCAAAUCGAUUGGCGGUCACGUCGAGCUUCCAUAGCGUAGUAAUCAUACACCUCGUUACUGGUAAUCGUCGCGGCCACGCCGUAAAACCCCAACUUCUGAAUGUUGACCUCGGAUCAGGUAGGAAUACCCGCUGAACUUAAGCAUAUCAAUAAGCGGAGGA
rnacentral:rRNA from 1 species